CUCCCAAGGUGACUUUAGAAAGACGAGUCUCUUGCCUUUCCUUGGACCCUCUCCCAUCCCAGAUCUCCACCUGGUAAGAAGUAGCCAGGGGAGGUGGCACGGUAGAAGAGAGAAAUUGUUUGCCUGGGGCGGGGGGUGUCAUCUGCAGAUUUUGCUGUCACCCAAUGGUUCCCGCCGUCAGCCCCAUGGUUUCCUUCCAGCUAAGGAGGGCUGGGUCGUACGUUCGGCGUGCUCAAAUGUCUGGGGGCUGCACAAGGCUAUUUUACUCUGAGCACAUCUGCCAGCCGCCCAGCUCUGCAGUCAGCCAGCGAGUACAUCUUGUUUGUGUUUUGCUGCGAGCGCGCUCUCCGCGGGUUAUGUCAGAGGUGAGGAAUGCGGGCCACCCUCUGCCAUGAGAUCAGGCUCACAUCUUUAGGCUGAACAUUUGACCGUAUUUUCUGGAAAGCACAACGCACCUUUCACUGGCACGGGGGUUUGGAGGACACGUUCCUGUCCCCUGCUCCAGUGCAUCUGAUAAGCUGAGUGGAACAAGGAUUAUUCCUAAAAACAAGGAGAAAAGACAUGCUGAUGAAUAAAUAAGAAGGAAAGAAAAGCAACUCAAGGCAGUCACACACGAGCCCCAGGAGCUUGGAAAAGGCUAUGGACAGGCCGCUACAGAUAUCACAUCCCUUUGAGAGCACUUGCCCAAUUCUUUUAAUAUUUUCACCUCAAUUUCUACUGCAGGCUCCAAACCCUCAUUGUAUUAUUUAUUGCUGCCUCUGUAGCCUAGGAGAUAAAUGAACGUGGUCAUGAUUUAUGGACUCUCCUUGUAGAACAUUUUGUUCUGAUUGUUUGGUUUUGGUGUGAACAAACUCCCAAUAAUUAAAGAUGAGCUCAGGCUACAGAACUCAAUACUGGAUUUCAAAUAGCCCAAAUGCAAGGAGCAUCCGGAUCAGGUAUUUUUGGUUCACUCCAUUGGAAGGAUGGGAUCCAUUAGCAAAACCUGGAUGCAAAGUCUGAAUAAAUUGAAAGUAAAAACAACGAGGCCCACAUAGAGUAGUUUCAUAGUUGUUAGGGGCUGGAAGGGACCUUACUGAUCAUCGGCUGCAGCCAAGUAUGAAGUCAAAUUGCUAAUGAAAUCACAGAAUCAACUUGGUAAAAAGACCCCAGAUCUUAUUAUUAUUUCCCAUUUCUCAUCUACAGCAUGGUCUAUAACCCAGAUGUUACUGCUAAUAUUUUUUUAUCAUUCCUGCUACUGAUGGUAACUACAGAGGGGGCUGCAGAGUAGCCGAGACAUCAACUUGGACGAACCUUGAACAAGAUUGAAUGGCAGAAUUCUUAAAAUUGCCUGUUUCACAUCUCCUGGUAUCACCCCCACCAAAUCAUGUCACUGCUGCUAAUCUUCCCAGCCUGCAAAAGAAGAAUAAAGAUGCUUGCCUACUUUGUAUAGCACCUCAACACCGAGUGAUGGGAAGCACUACACAAAGGCCGAGCACUUACCUUUAGUGCAGUGCUAAUCUGUGCAAGUCUCAGGAGCACUAAGAAAUUGCACUGGCAGGAUCCCCUAUGGAAAAGGCAAUGAUUCCUGUUGUGUUUGACAGCUAAAGAGUCCAGAGUAAUACCAGCUCACACCCAGUCCCUAGCAUGCAGGGUGCGUGUGUGUGUCUGCUGCAUACAAUGACUAAGUCAUGAUGUGGGAGCUGUCCGUCCUGCCAGCUGAACCAAAAAGGAAGCCUUUGACUGGCCAAGGUAGCAAGGAUAGCACUGGUGUAUAGCUACAGAGAUGACCGACUGCUCCUUCAGAGAAUCCCCUGUGUGUCUAUGUUGCAGACUAAGAGCUGAUAUGGGCCAGUGCAGCAGCAGGGAGCACCCAACACAGAGGCAGACUGCGCGGAGUACUGCUCACACCUGCAUGCCGGCUGGUACACUGCAAUGGCAGGGAUCUGUGGCAGCAAACUGAGCUCCCUGGGUUCAAACCUCAGGUCUUUCUGAGAGCCCAUAUACUGGGAGUUGAGGGCCCCACUGUGGCUCCUGGCUGGCCGUGGAGCAGGACAUUUCUAUCCACCUUCUACUCCAUGAGUAUCAAGGCAACAUCGACUUCACUGGGCCGGCCAUGUCAGCCGGAUGUCUGACUCUAGACUCCUGAAGCAAGUUUUAUUCUCCCAGCUGAGCCAAGGGUGUAUGCUCAAAAGGAGGGCAGAGAAAGCACUUCAGGGAUGUCCUCAAGGCCAACAUAAAAAAAUGCAACAUCCAUGUCAACUCGUGGGAAACUAUCACCCAGGACCACCCCAAAUGGAGGAAGAGUCUGCUACAGGGAUCUCAGUACUUUGAAACCUCACAAUAACAAGAAGAGAUGGAAAAGUGAGAGCGGCAAGAACAGAGCAUCGUGGACCGAACCAAGAAUCCAGCGCCACCCACCCCACAUGGAAACACAUGUCCGAGCUGCAGUAGAGUCUGCCGAUCCUGGAUAGGUGUCAUCAGCCACCUUCAGACACACAGAUAAGACAGUGAUGGAAGACAAUCAGCCUCGACUGCAAGGGAUUGCCGAAGAAGACUCAGCCACAGAAACAGACUUCAUUUCUCUAUAUGCUCCUCAUUGCUGCGGGAAGAGAAAAGGGAGGGUAUUAGAGAAGCAAUUGCUGCAGCAGCUUUGCUUCCUGGGAAGUUCGGAAUUGCACCAACUCCAGGACAGGAAAAGGAAUAUAUUCAAGUCGUUCCUCCCAGAGAGGGCUGACUUACAAUGAAUUCAGUAAUAACGAAGUGACUGUCACAUGCGUCUACUCAGGGACCUGGCUCGCUGCAAGAGAACAGAAGCAUGACAGGUACAUACAUACACCGCCUGUGCAAAGGUUAACAAUGUUUUCCCUUUCAAGCCCUUUGUAUAAAAGUGACCGGGAAUGUCCCUUCAAAGAGAGCUGAGCUGAGCAUCAUCCGAUCCUAGAACAUGACGAGCAUCUCACACUCCCCAGAGGAAAACCAAAGGAAAGCCCCUGAACUUCAGAAGUGCCAAAAGGAUGAGCAAUGGCAUGGGGUUUGGUCCGAGAAGAAUGGGCUGAGCCACAUUAGGGUAUUUCCAUUCACCCUGGCACCUUCUUGAAGGCAGAACAUGUAACUUAAGCUUCUCCGUGGAUGUCCCACCCUCACUCCAUCUCUCUGCAGUUGAAAGUCAAUCCUAUACAGCACUUGAAGGGCAGCAUCUGCCACCCAGUGGCCCACUAUACUGUGGCCCCUCCAGUUCUGAAUCAGCUUCGGUCUAUCACACUCAUCAUGGAGGAGAAUUUCACCUUAGGAGAAAGCAUCUGUAGAGACACUGACAUUUGAAGUCUGGACAUUUCUGGAGCUGUAGAGCUCUCUGCUACUAACCCUGUGCCUACAGGCAGUAUCAGGGGUGCCAUUUGAUACACAGUGCCACAUACCGUCCUCCUGGGAAUGAGCAUGAAGGGCUCAAGCAUUGAUUUUCUCGCAGUGCUCUGGGAAGAUGCCAGAUUGUCAGAUGAGGAGACUGCAGUUGUCUCACUCUUUGCAAAGUAAUUAGAAUAACCACAGGUUUUCUGCAGGCUUUUCCCACUCCACUUUCCUAAGGUGCAUCGGCGUGGCCAGCCUGACCUCUUGCCCAGAAAUAAGGCCUCCCACAGACUCACAGACCACGGGGGAGCCUGAGCUCUGCUCCAUCGUGGGCUUGGGACCGGCGCUGAUACACUGAGUUAGAAGUGCUCCUUCUCAAAGGGUAGAGGGUAGUUUAGUCUUCAUUCCAGCUGGUCUUGGGCUUCUUCACAGAAGAAGUUGGUGGCAUUUGCGGCACAGAAAACUAUUUGCUAUGAGGUGCUAGCUCAUUUCAUCCAGGCCACAGAAGAGCUAGUUAGAUAUUAACAGCCUUCAAUCACUAUUAACCUGGACCAAAUUCAUCCCAGCGGCUUGGAAGUACAGUCUACCCGCUCUGGUCCUCUAAGGCAGCCUUUGCCCUGUGAAGGACAUGUACUGGCUGGGUUCUCCUUUACCGCAGGUUGAAAGGUGGGAGAUAGCAAAGAGAAAUGAGGAACACAGCCCAUGAUAAAGGAAUGAUAAUAUCAUCUUGGCUUUUACAUAUAUGGUGCUUGGUGGGAUAGACAUGGACACAAGAUGUCACAACAGUAUGAGAUACCAUGUUUUAAAAGCAUUGUGCAGGACCUGGGCAGGGAGGUAAAGCUGCUAUAGACCCAGGGCAAGUUAAUGGACUUCUCUGCAUGAUGCAAUGGUCUAACAUACGCUGGAGGCAAUUAAAUGAUUACUCUAAGCCCCUAAUGCUCGAAUUAAGUGGGAUCCAUGCAGGAAGGCCAUACGAACAGCUUCUCGGUGAAGAACACCAGAGCACACAGUCAAAAGGCCACGGCAUCCUUUCAGGCUACUAGUGGAGAUGCUGCAGCUGAUUUGCCAGGCUGGGAAGGUAGAGAUCAAAAGUAAUAAAAAGGGCCUCGAUCCCUGCAGUAAUGGUGAGUUGAGAGAGCGAGCUCAGGUAUUGUCAGGGAGGUCCAACAGGAGGAAAGCGGGCACCGGGACAGGCUCUGUAGGUGAGUUUGUCUUUCAGGGUCCCUAGAGAGAAGCUGGUUAGAUGCCCAGGAAGCAGACAUACAUGUUGUCCAUUUUACUGUUUUUAAGAUCCAUUUCCUAUGAAAAGCUUUUGUUCUAAGUAAAUGAUGCUUUGCUCACAGGAGGCUAUUUGAUCACUGGUUACCCCAUUAUUGCUCUGUAGGGAACAGGCCUGGAAGGUGUGUGCCUAAACCAAGCCUGCUGGAGCAGUCACUGAUGAAUAGCAGAGACCAAGUGACAGGCAGAGAUGCCCAAGGGCUGAGAGAUGCUGAGACCAGGAGUGGUAAUGGGUGCAGCUCUUCUAGUGACUGUGACCCCUAUGGCCUGAGCCUACUGCAGCACUUUACAAAAGUGGGUUUUAGUGGCCAGGAGUUAGCUUGCACCUCUGCAUCAGCAAAGGAAACUGGGCAAGCUAAGCUACCAUAUGCAUAAAUCCUGCCUUUCUCAGUUACCCUGGGGUGGCCAUCUGCUGCUGGUCCCCACCGAGGAGGUGCUUUAUUGUGCCCUACUUAAAAAAUGUGUCUCAAUGAAAGUCUUGCAAUUAAAAGUCAACUCAGAGUCACUGCA